GAUGAACGCUGGCGGCGUGCUUAACACAUGCAAGUCGAACGGAAAGGCUCCUGCUUGCAGGGGUACUCGAGUGGCGAACGGGUGAGUAACACGUGGGUGAUCUGCCCUGCACUUCGGGAUAAGCCUGGGAAACUGGGUCUAAUACCGGAUAGGACGAUGGUUUGGAUGCCAUUGUGGAAAGUUUUUCGGUGUGGGAUGAGCUCGCGGCCUAUCAGCUUGUUGGUGGGGUAAUGGCCUACCAAGGCGUCGACGGGUAGCCGGCCUGAGAGGGGGUACGGCCACAUUGGGACUGAGAUACGGCCCAGACUCCUACGGGAGGCAGCAGUGGGGAAUAUUGCACAAUGGGCGCAAGCCUGAUGCAGCGACGCCGCGUGGGGGAUGACGGCCUUCGGGUUGUAAACUCCUUUCGCUAGGGACGAAGCGUUUUGUGACGGUACCUGGAGAAGAAGCACCGGCUAACUACGUG
rnacentral:rRNA from 1 species